UAACCUGUUUAAACAUUUGGUAUGAUUUAACUAUCAGACUUUAACCAAAAAAGUAGGCUAUGCAUCACGAGAAGGCUGAAAAAGGCAGAAAAACAAUUACAACUUCCCGCCUCCCCUUCAAGUUAUUGUGCAGCAAUAUCACGAAAAAAGCAAUACUCUUUUUCCAUUUCCAAAUCUCAAUCCAGAGAAAAAUGGUGCGAGCUUCCUCUUCAAAGAAGCCACGGACUGCAGAAACCCCAGAAGCCACAGAGCGGAGAAGACUGAAGAAAUUGGCUUUCAGAAACAACUUGCUUUCCGAGAUAUCGGCCGCGCCCAAAUCUUACGUGCCUCUCAGCCCGUCGAAGCAAGUAAUAAAGCACCAUGGCAAAGAUAUUCUCAGGAAAUCUCAAAGGAAAAACCGUUUCCUUUUCUCUUUCCCCGGUCUCCUUGCUCCCAUCUCUGGUGGCAAGAUCGGCGAACUCAAGAAUUUGGGCUCCAAAAACCCUACCCUCUACCUUGAUUUCCCUCAGGGUCAAAUGAAGUUGUUUGGUACAAUUGUGUAUCCCAAGAAUAGGUAUCUGAGUUUGCUCUUCUCUCGUGGUGGGAAGAACGUUAUGUGUGAGGAUUAUUUUGACAACAUGAUUGUAUUCUCCGAUGCAUGGUGGAUUGGGAAAAAAGAUGAGAACCCAGAAGAAGCACGGCUUGAUUUUCCAAAGGAACUGUGUGAGGGACAUCUGAUGGAAUAUGACUUUAAAGGUGGUGCUGGGGUGGCAUCUGUUAACAAGCAAGGCAUUCCUAGAACAGAAAUAAAACGGGUUGAAGUAGAGUCCCUUGAUACUGAGUCUGGAGAUUCUUUAUCAGAUGAUGACAACAACUUGAAAGUUAAGAUGGAAGUGACACCAACUCGGCACUCUGCAAGAAAUGCUGGCAAAAGAUUCAAAUUUUCUGAGGCUUCUUCCGAGGAUGACCCUGUCAGAAGUGAUGCUGAACCAUUAGAUGGAGAAGAGAAGGAAGUUAGCAUGAAACUUGAUUUAACUGAAACUGAUACUAUUGGAAAGACUAUUAGUUCCAUUCCUGUGGUUCUUGGUUCUGAUACUAAAGAAGAUAACCGGGUCUCCAAACAAAACCAAACUUCUCUAAUGUCAGCGACCAAGUUCAGAAAAACAUCUCAGUCAACUGUUACAGUGACUAAAUCUAAGGAAAAUUUAAACACAAAUCGUGGUUCACUUGUUCAAGCUAACAUAUCUACACUGUUUAAGAAAGUGGAAGAAAAGCGAUCAAAGGGUUCAGAUAAAUCUUCAUCCUCAAAAGGUUGCCUCUUUCCCGCUUGCUUUUCCCAUUAUAAAUAUUGUGAAAGAUUAUUAAGAUUUAUGAUUUGUUUCCCUAUUGUGUGCUUUCAGUUCCUCGUAAGAAGUUGCAGUUUAAGAAUUCCAAACGGAAGAUUGAUCAGACUGAGGGAUCUAACAAAAUGGGAAAAUUAAUUGAAGAAAAAACCACUGGUUGAAGAGGACAUCCAAGAAUUGUCAAGCACAUCACAGGAUACUAAUGGAAGUGAUGAAGAUUGGACUGCGUGAGAUUACAAUAUACCCCUAUGGUAAAUAUAGGAAUGACCAAGCAAAUUCAAGCAUAUACUUAAACGAAGUGAUGAAGAAAGACUAAACAAGGAGAAAAAUUUAGAACCCUGAUGGUAGAUUUCUAAAGGGGGGCUCAGAUUUCCAAUUGAUAUGUAAAAUUAGUGAUAAUUAGCAUAGCCAUGAUUGUUAUGUUAUUACUCUUGUUAAAAUUUUAAAUUCCACGAUUAGAUUAGUUCUUCACUUGGUCGCUCAUAUCGGUAGAAAGGAAAGCAUUAGGAGAAAAAUGAUAAUAAUUUAAUCAUGUUAAAUUGUGGUAUUUUGCCAUAUCUUUUGCUGCAGGGUUUCAGAUUCCUAUAAUUGGAGAUAUAUCUUUUGGACCUACUAUUUUAAACUCUUUUUCCAUGCAUGGUUGGCUGUGAUGAACAUACGAAAAGUUGUAUGUAAUUUAUUGAUUUGGUUGAGGAAAAACUUUAAUUAAGUGGGUGUUUCUUAUAUUUAAUGUGGAUUGGACAUGUAUUUGAUUCUUUAAAGAUCGAGAAUACUUGACCUCAACCUUAUAGCUCUCUAGCCAUUAUCACAAUUGGACUUGCAAUUUGAGUGUAUGUAAAAUGUCAAUCAAUGCAAAAUAUGGGCAAAAGGGUGAAAAAAAAGAAAGA